AAACUUGAGAGUUUGAUCAUGGCUCAGAACGUACGCUGGCGGCACGCCUAACACAUGCAAGUCGAACGCAGUAGCAAUACUGAGUGGCGAACGGGUGAGUAUAAUGUGGGUAUCUGCCUUUUGGUUUGGAAUAACACGAGGAAACUUGUGCUAAUACCGGAUAAGCCUUUACAGGGAAAGUUUUAUACGCCGAAAGAUGAGCCCGCACUUGAUUAGCUAGUUGGUAAGGUAAAAGCUUACCAAGGCUACGAUCAAUAGCUGAUCUGAGAGGAUGAUCAGCCACAUUGGGACUGAGACACGGCCCAAACUCCUACGGGAGGCAGCAGUGGGGAAUCUUGCACAAUGGGGGAAACCCUGAUGCAGCGAUGCCGCGUGAGUGAAGAAGGCCUUUGGGUUGUAAAGCUCUUUCGUCGGGGAAGAAAAUGACUGUACCCGAAUAAGAAGGUCCGGCUAACUUCGUGCCAGCAGCCGCGGUAAUACGAAGGGACCUAGCGUAGUUCGGAAUUACUGGGCUUAAAGAGUACGUAGGUGGUUAAAAAAGUUGGUGGUGAAAUCCCAAGGCUUAACCUUGGAACUGCCAUCAAAACUUUUUAACUAGAGUAUGAUAGAGGUAAGUGGAAUUUCUAGUGUAGAGGUGAAAUUCGUAGAUAUUAGAAAGAACUCCGAUUGCGAAGGCAGCUUUCUGGAUCAUUACUGACACUGAGGUACGAAAGCAUGGGUAGCGAAGAGGAUUAGAUACCCUCGUAGUCCAUGCUGUAAACGAUGUGUGCUAGACGUUGGAAAUUUAAUUUUCAGUGUCGCAGCAAAAGCGUUAAGCACACCGCCUGGGGAGUACGACCGCAAGGUUAAAACUCAAAUGAAUUGACGGGGACCCGCACAAGCAGUGGAGCAUGUGGUUUAAUUCGAAGAUACGCGCAGAACCUUACCAACACUUGACAUGUUCGUCGCGACUCUAAGAGAUUAGAGUUUUCGGUUCGGCCGGACGAAACACAGGUGCUGCAUGGCUGUCGUCAGCUCGUGUCGUGAGAUGUUGGGUUAAGUCCCGCAACGAGCGCAACCCCUACUUUUAGUUGCUACCAUUUAGUUGGGCACUCUAAAGGAACUGCCAGUGAUAAGCUGGAGGAAGGUGGGGAUGACGUCAAGUCCUCAUGGCCCUUACGUGUUGGGCUACACACGUGCUACAAUGGUACUUACAACGAGAUGCUAAGAGGCGACUCUAAGCCAAUCUCAAAAAGGUACCUCAGUUCGGAUUGCACUCUGCAACUCGAGUGCAUGAAGCUGGAAUUGCUAGUAAUCGCGGAUCAGCGUGCCGCGGUGAAUACGUUCCCGGGUCUUGUACACACCGCCCGUCACACCAUGGAAGUUGGUUACACCUUAAGGCAAAAUGCUAACCCUCGGGAAGCAUUUGACUACGGUACGAUCAGCGACUGGGGUGAAGUCGUAACAAGGUAGCCGUAGGGGAACCUGCGGCUGGAUCACCUCCUUU
rnacentral:rRNA from 1 species